rnacentral:tRNA from 1 species
GCUCCCGUAGUUCAGAUGGAUAGAAUAGGUCCCUCCGAAGGAAAAGGUCAGCCGUUCGAAUCGGCUCGGGAGCGCCA